rnacentral:lncRNA from 1 species
GGGGGACCAAAUUUAUGGGUGAACAUCCACAAGAAACAUAAGUGGCCUCUAGGGAAGCCAAUCUUUGCACAGAAUUUUUGUUUAAUGAGGUGGAGGGUAUACAAGAUAUAGGCCAAAGGAUAAUUUAGGUUCUUAUGACUGUGUCCUUGUUCUUUUCAAAUCCUAGCUUCAUCUCUGCUCCCACUGAUGACACUAUGAGACUUUGGAAUUCUUCACUGUGUGUAAGACGAUUUUAUUACUGAGAUAGCUACCGCUUUGUAGUUAUGACCUGAGUAAACAAGCCAAGAUGAGGAAGCAACCUAAAUGUCUAC